GAGUUUGAUCAUGGCUCAGAACGAACGCUGGCGGCGUGGAUAAGACAUGCAAGUCGAACGGGAGAAUUGCUAGCUUGCUAAUAAUUCUCUAGUGGCGCACGGGUGAGUAACACGUGAGUAACCUGCCCCGACGAGCGGGAUAGCCCUGGGAAACUGGGAGUUAAUACCGCAUAGUAUCGAAAGAUUAAAGCAGCAAUGCGCUUGGGGAUGGGCUCGCGGCCUAUUAGUUAGUUGGUGAGGUAACGGCUCACCAAGGCGGAUGACGGGUAGCCGGUCUGAGAGGAUGUCCGGCCACACUGGAACUGAGACACGGUCCAGACACCUACGGGUGGCAGCAGUCGAGAAUCAUUCACAA
rnacentral:rRNA from 1 species